rnacentral:tRNA from 1 species
GGGGUCGAGGCUCAGUUGUAGAGCAUUCGUCUAGCACAUGUGAGGCCCUGGGUUCGAUCCUCAGCACCACG